rnacentral:lncRNA from 1 species
CUCCUCUAAGCGCCGCUACUGUAUCCUGAAGGUCGACAACGGAAGACUGUAGUAUUCCAACAUCAUGGGAUAGAUCGUCAACCCUCCCUGUCAACUCUCGUCCCAUAUCGUCGACCCUCCCUGUCAUAUAGUCAACCUUCCCUGCCAGAUCGUCGACCCUCCCUGUCAACUCUCGUCCCAGAUCAUCGNUUUUUUUUACUUUGGAGGUGGAUAAUUUCUUGGUAGGAUCCUCCAAAAAACUGCAUAAACCCAUUGGGAAUUUUCAUGAAUGCAUAAGCUCCUUAGAGUGUGUUGAAGAAGAUGAGUAACAGCUAAAGAAUUCAGCUGCUCUUCCAUUAUUCUUUAGCCCUUUUUUCCUUCACAGUGAAUUGAUUUUAGUCCCUGUGAUGAUCCCUAUAUUCCUAACAAGUAAAACCCCAACAUCUCUUUACUCCCGUUUAUAGUAUGACCAAUCUCUCUCUCUCUCUCUCACAGAGUAAGUUUGGCAAUCAUUAUUUGAACAAAACAAAAUUUUGAAUAGUGAUUUUUAAGAGAAUGUUAAAAAGCAGGGAAAUAUUUUGAGUUUAUAUGCAGAAUAUUUUAUUGUGUGAAUAUGUGAUGAAAAAUAAGUAUGGAGAGAAAAAAAAUUUCAAAUAAUUAUUGUCAAAUAGGAGCUAAAAUUAUCCCAAAAGAUUAUCGUUUGAAAGCUAAUCUUGAAAUUCGUGAGCUUUUGAUCAGAUUGAAGAACUCAUUUGAAUUCAAUGAAAGCUUGUACUACAUUAAAGUCUG